CCUACGGGUGGCAGCAGUGAGGAAUAUUGGUCAAUGGGAGAGAUCCUGAACCAGCCAAGCCGCGUGAGGGAAGACGGCCCUAUGGGUUGUAAACCUCUUUUGUCGGAGAACAAAACCCGGGACGUGUCCCGGACUGCGUGUAUCCGAAGAAAAAGCAUCGGCUAACUCCGUGCCAGCAGCCGCGGUAAUACGGAGGAUGCGAGCGUUAUCCGGAUUUAUUGGGUUUAAAGGGUGCGUAGGCGGUCCGUUAAGUGAGCGGUAAAAGUGCGGGGCUCAACCCCGUCGAGCCGUUGAAACUGGCAGACUAGAGUGGGCGAGAGGUACGCGGAAUGCGCGGUGUAGCGGUGAAAUGCAUAGAGAUCGCGCAGAACUCCGAUUGCGAAGGCAGCGUACCGGCGCCAGACUGACGCUGAGGCACGAAAGCGUGGGGAUCGAACAGGAUUAGAUACCCCUGUAGUC
rnacentral:rRNA from 1 species